ensembl:lncRNA
AAAUAACCUCCCUCCUGGGUGAUAGAGGGGAGACCAACUCUGUUAAUGGGUUCCUUUUUUAGGCUCCGAGAUCUUGCUUCAGGGUGUUCAAAUUUUGAGACAUGUUUAUGUCAAGGAACCCUCCAUUCACCCUGGAAGAAUCAUGGAGUUCAUUUAGAGAUCACUUCCAUCCUACGCCCAAAGCAUAGGAACAAUCAUCAGAGACCUCUGUCUGGGAAACAUGCCAGGAAGUAGUGAACCUCCAGCAAUGCUGAGUCAGACUCUCUGUGGUAUAGGGAAUCUCAGCUCUCUACUUUCUUGUUUUGGACCUUUUUUUUGUUUUUACUUUUAGAUGGGACUUCUUGGGAGGGUUAUAUUCAGAAAGACCUUCCAGAGAUUUGGAGUAUGGAAGUAGAAACAUAAAUGAUUCUCUUCUUCUCUCCCAUGGCUUUGACUGCUUGUUUUGAAGGAAGAAGUGAGUAGAAGAGUGAGAAUGAGAGAAGAAGAAAAUUAUUUUAUGGAGAAUGGCAGAGACAGGGAGGAAAAGAGGGAUAAUGGGGUAAAGUAUGUAUAAUAUUUCACCUAACAUUUCCUUCCCCACAUCUCUGAUCAUUCCUUUUUCUCAAGUACGUAAGUUAUUAGGUUCUCAACCUUCAGAGAAGGGAUGUGGCAGCGAAAAGAAAUCGAAGCAGAGAUGAUGUGGCCAAAAACAUAAGUGGCCUCCAAGAAUGAGCAAGACAAACAUUUGGAUUCAGCCCACAAGACACAAGCUGAAUAUCAAAAAACAAAAGGAUAAGAAAUUAAUGUUACAAACCAUUGGAAUACCAUUGACCAACAGAAGAUCCCCUACACAGCAUUGCAGGAAAAAUAACAGAUCCAUACCUAUAUACAACUGAAGGCAGGUGGCCUGGACCCACAGGAGGCAAUGGAACCAGAGUAGCAACACCCUCCUCCUCCCUUGGUAUCAGUAAUCCAGGGAACAGACCCCAGGAUGGAAAGUGUAGGAUCUCAAAUACAAUAAGAAGCAGAUCAAAACCAAAGUAAUCAAAGCUAUACCCAAUUAAGAAUGGUAGUACUAUCACAAGUGCCCCAGCAGAGACUUAACUCACCAAAUACUGUGAAUAACUACAGUAACAUGGUACAAGAGAAUGAGAAGGAAAACUCUCCAGAAACCAAAUUUGAAGUCACAGAAGAAUAUAAUCUAACUGAAAGAGAAUUCACAAUAGCUCUUCCACAGUAAAUCAAUGAGUUACAAGAAAACUCAGAAAUAUCGUUCAAUGAGCUCAGGAUUAAAAAAAUAAACAACAAACAAACAAAUGUUGGAGAUGAAGAACACAAUUAUGAGAUUAAAAAUAAGUAAGAAAGCAUUAAAGAUAGAGCAGAACAUAUGGAGGGGAGAAUUAGUGACCUCAAAGAUAGAAACUUAGAAUUGAUUCAGGUGGAGGAAGAGAGAGAAUGAAGAUUUUAAAAAGUGAAGAAAUUCUUCAAGAAAUAUCUGACUCAAUUAGGAAAAGUAACAUAAGGAUAAUAGAUAUCCCAGGAGGAGAAGAGAGGGGAAAAGGAGAAGAGAGCUUAUUCAAAAGAACAGUAGCUGAGAUCUUCACAAACCUGAGGAAGUAACUGGACUUACAAUUACUUGAAACCAAUAGAACUCCUAAUUACAUCAAGGCAAAAAGAUCUUACCCAAGGCAUAUAAUACCAAAGCUGUCAAAAUUCAAUGACAAAGAAAAAAUAUUAAGGGCCACAAGACAGAAGAAAAUAACCUACAAAGGAAUAUUUAUCAGGCUUUCAGCAAAUUUACAAGUAGAAAUCCUACAGGCUAGGAAAGAGUGGAAUGAUAUAUUCAAAAUACUGAAAGACAAAAACUAUCUGCCAAG